rnacentral:rRNA from 1 species
UCUUUUAGAUAUUGGGUAGGGGAGCGUUCUGUAAGCCGUUGAAGGUGAAUCGUAAGGUUUGCUGGAGGUAUCAGAAGUGCGAAUGCUGACAUGAGUAACGACAAAGGGGGUGAAAAACCUCCUCGCCGGAAGACCAAGGGUUCCUGUCCAACGUUAAUCGGGGCAGGGUGAGUCGACCCCUAAGGUGAGGCCGAAAGGCGUAAUCGAUGGGAAACGGGUUAAUAUUCCCGUACUUCUGACUAUUGCGAUGGGGGGACGGAGAAGGCUAGGUGGGCCAGGCGACGGUUGUCCUGGUUCAAGUGCGUAGGCUUGAGAGUUAGGUAAAUCCGGCUCUCUCUAAGGCUGAGACACGACGUCGAGCUACUACGGUAGUGAAGUCAUUGAUGCCAUGCUUCCAGGAAAAGCCUCUAAGCUUCAGAUAGUCAGGAAUCGUACCCCAAACCGACACAGGUGGUCGGGUAGAGAAUACCAAGGCGCUUGAGAGAACUCGGGUGAAGGAACUAGGCAAAAUGGUACCGUAACUUCGGGAGAAGGUACGCUCUUGAUGGUGAAGUCCCUCGCGGAUGGAGCUGACGAGAGUCGCAGAUACCAGGUGGCUGCAACUGUUUAUUAAAAACACAGCACUGUGCAAAAUCGCAAGAUGACGUAUACGGUGUGACGCCUGCCCGGUGCCGGAAGGUUAAUUGAUGGGGUUAGCGCAAGCGAAGCUCUUGAUCGAAGCCCCGGUAAACGGCGGCCGUAACUAUAACGGUCCUAAGGUAGCGAAAUUCCUUGUCGGGUAAGUUCCGACCUGCACGAAUGGCGUAAUGAUGGCCACGCUGUCUCCACCCGAGACUCAGUGAAAUUGAAAUCGCUGUGAAGAUGCAGUGUACCCGCGGCUAGACGGAAAGACCCCGUGAACCUUUACUACAGCUUGGCACUGAACAUUGAACCUACAUGUGUAGGAUAGGUGGGAGGCUAUGAAGACGUGACGCCA